GUGAUCACAUUAACCACAGCAACCACGAGGAAAAUAGCGUUGCUGUAGUAACGGGUAGGAGAGACGCUUUCGGCUAACUCUUUUGCUAAAUACUCUGUUUAAAUAUGACUGUGUGAAGUGAAUGUGAAAAGUUGCAUAUAUGACAUGGCUACGUGAAUAACUGAAGAGCAAACUAACCGUUAUUCUCCUCUACUGCAAUCUAACUUGAGUGACCCUGUUGACUUUUUCUGGACAUGUCCGUGAUAAACAGCCUCGUCCCAGCUCGGUUUCUCAUCCUCACUGCUCACCUAGUGAUAGUCAUCAACAUCUUCUGGUCCCGGGGAAACAAUGUUCAAUCGUGCUUACCGCUGGACUUCACAGAGGAGCAGUACACGACCGAGGACAACUGGUUGAUUAUUGCUCUAUCAGUAACUCUGUGUUUAUUUGCCAUUGAAUUGUUUGGAUUCUUCUCCGGCGUCUCGAUGUUCAACAGUAACCAAGGAGUGCUGUCCAUGGUGUGUCACUGCAGCGCAUCUGUCUCUUUGUCUUUUUUCAUCAUCCAGCAAUGGGAAUGCUGGGUUUACUGGAUAAUCUUCGCAUUUUGCAGUGAGCAGCAGUGAAGCGGGAGUUUCAGCGUUGGGUCUGAAUGAGGUCAAUGAUGAAGUAGAAAUGCUUUUAUUUGUGUGUCAUUCCUGCCCUGUGCGAGCUGGUACUGAUCAUAGCUGUGUUCGGACUGAAAAAGAAGCCGAUGUGAAGGUUUAAAUAUGUGUCCUGUCCCUCAGUAUGACGUCCACAUUAGUAGAACAAAUCUACUGUAUCUGUAACUUUAUAAUGAGCCAUGCAACAUCAGCAUUGGUGGAUCCUCCAGGUCAGAUUUUGACUUCUCAUCCAGAUUAAAUGUGACACAUUUGAACAUAAA